rnacentral:tRNA from 2 species
GGUGCCUUAGCUCAGCUGGUAGAGCAACGGAUUGAAAAUCCGUGUGUCCCCAGUUCGAUUCUGGGAGGCACCA